rnacentral:snRNA from 11 species
AAGGUGGUGUCAGCUCCAUACAUCAAGCCAACAGGGACGAAGAACAUGUUGGCAAUAGUGUGUUCAUAGCCCAAGCUUGCAAAGCAGCACACAGGAAGGUACAUGCCCAC